AGCGAACGCUGGCGGCAGGCCUAACACAUGCAAGUCGAACGAAGUCUUCGGACUUAGUGGCGGACGGGUGAGUAACACGUGGGAACGUGCCUUUAGGUUCGGAAUAACUCAGGGAAACUUGUGCUAAUACCGAAUGUGCCCUUCGGGGGAAAGAUUUAUCGCCUUUAGAGCGGCCCGCGUCUGAUUAGCUAGUUGGUGAGGUAAAGGCUCACCAAGACUACGAUCAGUAGCUGGUCUGAGAGGAUGACCAGCCACAUUGGGACUGAGACACGGCCCAAACGCCUACGGGAGGCAGCAGUGGGGAAUCUUGCGCAAUGGGCGAAAGCCUGACGCAGCCAUGCCGCGUGGAUGAUGAAGGUCUUAGGAUUGUAAAAUCCUUUCACCGGUGAAGAUAAUGACUGUAGCCGGAGAAGAAGCCCCGGCUAACUUCGUGCCAGCCGCCGCGGUAAGAC
rnacentral:rRNA from 1 species